UAGACAACUUUUCCUUUUUCCCCUUGCCUUUCACGCCAUUUUCCUCUCACUUCCUACCUAAAAUUGUUCUUCAUUUUCUACACAAGAAAUCAAGCCAAGACUUCACCUUUAUGGCAUUUUGAGCUAAGAAAUGAUGAUCUUGGAGAUGGGGCUUGCUAGGAUGGUCUAGGGAGAUUGUGGAAGUGUUUUGCUAAGCUAGAAGUAAAGUCUCCCUUUGAGAGAGCGUAGUUGGAUGAGCUGCCUAGUUAGCUUAGAUCGUUGUAUUUCAUUGCCUCAGACUACGUUGUCAUCUUUUGUGAUGUAGUUGAACCCGUUUUGUUAGACUUAUGUUUUUAUUAGACUUAUGCUUUGGAUUUAAGUUGUUUCAGCCUUAGCACUUAGCCUUGUUUAACCUAAGUGUGGCAUAACUCCCUGGUUUAGACUUGUUGUUUCCGCAGUUUGUUUUUCUAUUAGACUUUUAUUAUCUGUUGUUGCUAAGUUAAAUGCCUUAAGUUAUGUUGUGAAACCGAGGGUGUUACAGUAACCGAUCUUAAGAGUACCGUCAUUCAAACCCAAGUAGAAAUUUAAGCAUUUUAUCUAAAAAAAAAAUUAUGUUGUUGAAAUCAUCGGCCCGUUUCAAUAUAAUUCCUCCAACCAAUAAGAUAGCAUCCCCUUAUAAGCUAAGCAAGCACUUUAGCCAAGUUUGGAUAUUGCACACAACUAAUAAGACCAAUAGGAGUAGCUGCGCUACAUGCCUUCCAAACUCAUGAAAAAUCACUGAGUAGCUCGCCAAUGAGAGCUUGGGACCUCUUAUUCAGUGAGGAUUGCCAAGAGAUAUAAAGUAUAUUGUAACAUGCUUAAUACUCCUACAUCAUUGCAAUUAAUUAAGCUUGCCAUAGGGGCCAAAGUAGAGCCUCUACUUUCGUUAUGACUAUAUUUUCACUACAUAGCAAAACAACCUAGAUCCAUUGAAGCAAAAUGACAUUCUAGAUUGAAACUAUUGCCCAUCCUAUAUAGCUAACCUUUGAGGACCCAAACUUGUUUGGGUACCUAAAUC